UACGAAGGGGGCUAGCGUUGCUCGGAAUUACUGGGCGUAAAGGGCUCGUAGGCGGCCAACUAAGUCAGACGUGAAAUCCCUCGGCUUAACCGGGGAAUGGCGUCUGAUACUGGAUGGCUUGAAUCCGGGAGAGGGAUGCGGAAUUCCAGGUGUAGCGGUGAAAUGCGUAGAUAUCUGGAGGAACACCGGUGGCGAAGGCGGCAUCCUGGACCGGCAUUGACGCUGAGGAGCGAAAGCCAGGGGAGCAAACGGG
rnacentral:rRNA from 1 species